rnacentral:rRNA from 1 species
GUCCAGACUCCUACGGGAGGCAGCAGUGGGGAAUAUUGCACAAUGGGGGAAACCCUGAUGCAGCGACGCCGCGUGAGCGAUGAAGUAUUUCGGUAUGUAAAGCUCUAUCAGCAGGGAAGAAAAUGACGGUACCUGACUAAGAAGCCCCGGCUAACUACGUGCCAGCAGCCGCGGUAAUACGUAGGGGGCAAGCGUUAUCCGGAUUUACUGGGUGUAAAGGGAGCGUAGACGGCGAUGCAAGCCAGAUGUGAAAGCCCGGGGCUCAACCCCGGGACUGCAUUUGGAACUGUGUGGCUGGAGUGUCGGAGAGGCAGGCGGAAUUCCUAGUGUAGCGGUGAAAUGCGUAGAUAUUAGGAGGAACACCAGUGGCGAAGGCGGCCUGCUGGACGAUGACUGACGUUGAGGCUCGAAAGCGUGGGGAGCAAACAGGAUUAGAUACCCCCGUACA